CGCUCUCUCAGCAGCCUCUCGAGCCUCGGUGCUGCUCGCGUUACAAAACUGAAACACCACCACUGCUGCAAAAACAGGCGAGACGCGCAGCUGCCCCAGAUGCCGGAACCGGGGAGCCCGUCCCCGGUCGUCGGAGGAGGAAAAGCGCAGGAAGCAGACGCCGAGGUCUUUCUCUCCGCUCCGUCUCCCCCUCACACA